AGGGAACAGCUGUGAAUUUACUAGGAUUGGGAGAUGAAAGGGAUUAACUACGGCAUUAUCCUAAAGACUCAGAAUGAGAGAGACAAGAGAGAGAGUCAGAGUCCAGUAGACUGAGAAAGGGGGACGAGUGAAAGGGCACUAGAGCAAGAGAGGGUGACCAAAGAGUAGACAGUGAUAGUGAGGUAAAAAGAGAGCAAAUAGGGGCUAUUAAAGCUAAGAGAAAGUAUUAAACAUAGAGACUAGAGAGGUGAUCAGAGAUAAAUAUAGAGAGCACCUGAGAAAGUGACACGUUGGUUGACGUUAUAAAGUGACGCAAGGAUUGUGACAUCAAGGGGGAGAGCCUGAGGUAAAAGAGGUGACAGAGGAGGAAGAGAGGGAGAACCAAGAAGGGAGAGAAGGUUUAUAGACCAAGUGACCACCCCUCUCACAACACUGGACCCUUUAACUCAACUCCACAUUUAUCUGAAGCAGAGCAGCCGCUUCUACGACAUGUCAAGGGAGCAGCUGGAAGGAGUAGUUCGCACUGUGGAGGCCCUUUUGGGAGAGGCAGAGUCUCUAAGAGCAAAGUGCCAGCGGCAAAGUGAUGAAAUGCGGCAGCUCUGUGAAGAUAUGCGGAAUGAGAACAGGGACCUGGUAGAUCGUUUUGGCCAGGCUGAAAGGGACCUUGCCGAGGUCAAGCGCUCAGUCAAUGAGCUGAUGGACACCAAGGUGGCUUUUGAAGCCAGAGAAAGGCAGGUGCGAAAGCUGAGCAAACAACUGUGAGCCAAAAGAUGGAAACUAAAAAUCAUCAACAUCACUGAAACGACUGCUCCCUAUUUUGAAGCUAGCUAGGAAAUGUCACUUUACUACUAGUUACACUAUUGUUCCCUACUUCUAACAUCCCUUUCUCCCUCACUGAAGGAGGCCAUGAUAUUGCCACUCUAAACUCAGAGGGGACAUUGUUUAUAAAUAACAGGGCAUCUAAUGGCACUGAUUAAACUCUCUUUCACUCUCUUUUUCUCUCUUUAAUCUCUUCUUCAUUUGACUUUGUUAGCAUUACCUGUAACAUUAACCAGUGUUGUUCCCAAGCUAUGAGUUGCCCUCCCUUGGUGACCAUAAAUAUAAACUUUGUUGACUUAAAAGACAUAGUUUAAUGAGAUAUAGGGUGUUAAUGCUCCAGGGUCCAUAACUGUUUAGAAUAUAUUUCCAGAGGCUCAGCCUGAAGACCAGUAAAGCUGAAGACAUACAUGGUGUUUAUGCAGCCAGUGUAUUAAUGUUAGCACCAAAAAUCAUAAUGUUUAUUUAGUGGCACUGCACCAGCUGAGAACGUACAAGUGCAUUUUCAGGCCUAGAGCCACCAAUUGUGGUGCUUUAUGAUGGCCCCCAUUAGUCAAUGGGAGGCAUCAAGGGAGUUUUGGGCACUUUUUCACUAGCAGAAAUACGAUGAUAGAGAAAGCGCUCUUAGGGUAAGAUUAUAACUGAGAGUUUCUUUUCUGCCCCGGAGAUUUUUAUAACAAUAACAGUGUAACUGGCAGUGAUUUAAGCUCAUAGGGCACACAUUUGGAACCAAACAGAAAUAUUGCAGUCCAAGAACUGGAAAGUCAUUUAAUUUAUGUAUAUAAACCUUUAUUUGUCAGUAUCUUUUUACCCUAAAAGCCAUCAACAUGCUACCUGUAGUGAGGAAAAAGCAACAUUAUCUAGGAUUUCUCCCAAAAAUACUUACUUUUAAUUGACUGAAAAAUGUCUGUAUUGGUGCAUUUAUGUUAUUAAUGAGGGCUUAUGUGCCUUUUAAGCAAAGCAAGCAGACUAUAUUAUUACCUAUAGCAAUACUAUAUCUGGUAACUAUAUGCAAUAUUGAAUAAAAAAAUUCAGAAUGUUA